GUGAGGAAUAUUGGGCAAUGGGCGAAAGCCUGACCCAGCCACGCCGCGUGAGUGAUGAAGGCCUUCGGGUCGUAAAGCUCUUUCGCUGGGGAAGAUAAUGACGGUACCCAGUAAAGAAACCCCGGCUAACUCUGUGCCAGCAGCCGCGGUAAUACAGAGGGUGCAAACGUUGCUCGGAAUUACUGGGCGUAAAGCGCGUGUAGGCUGACAUGCAAGUCGGGUGUGAAAUCCCAGGGCUCAACCUUGGAACUGCACUCGAAACUGCACGUCUUGAGUACUGGAGAGGGAAGCGGAAUUCCGGGUGUAGAGGUGAAAUUCGUAGAUAUCCGGAGGAACACCAGUGGCGAAGGCGGCUUCCUGGACAGUAACUGACGCUGAGACGCGAAAGCGUGGGGAGCAAACAGGAUUAGAUACCCUUGUAGUCC
rnacentral:rRNA from 1 species